UAAAGACUGCGUGACUGACGGACAAUAGGAGAGCUUACUCCAGAGAAGCGCAGUAUGUGAUUUGCCGACCGUCUGGGCACCGUCU
rnacentral:ncRNA from 2 species